rnacentral:lncRNA from 1 species
UAACUCCUGACCUCAAGUGAUCCGCCCACCUCGGCCUCCCAAAGUGCUGGGAUUACAGGCAUGAGCCACCGCUCCGGGCCCUUGCACAUAUUUUUUUAUGAACACACAGGCAGCAGCACUUUGAUUACAGUAACUUACAUGGAAGUUAUUUUAAAAUGGCUUUCCCCUUCUCUUUUUCAUGUAGGCUGCAUUUUUCAUCUGCAGCACGCUUUCUCUCAAGAAUCUCAAGCACACACAAGAAACCAGAGAGUAAAAUCACUGAGGCGUGAACACAUCCAGAGACCAAGGGCGUCACUGGCAGAAAAGCUUUUAGGCGGAUCCACGGCCCGAGAGCCACCCUGCCCAGAGACGCGGUUUCCUAGGAGCAGUUCACACGCGGCUCUGCAGCACCCACAAGCGGGGCCAGGGGCUGGUUUUCAUAGUUCACAGUCUGCAGGGAUCUUAACAAAAACAUGGCCGUGGUAAAAGUGCCUAGACCAGGCUUUCGUCACAACUCAGUGAGUAGGAAGACUAGUUAGGCUGAUGAAAAGCUCUGAUGAUGUGUGAUUAAAAGUAGGAAAACGUGGUUGCCAAAUAAAAUAUUUUACUAUAUAGUCAGGGGGAGAGAUGGGGAUAAAAAAAUGUGGAAACCAUUUAUUUUAAAAUUUUGACUGUUCCUGCAGUGUUUAAAAUAUAGGAGAUAUAUUCUGAUUAUCUUUAGAAAGAAACUGCUCUCAAUCUAUUUGUAUGUCUUCCCUCUGGUUUUAAAAUAUUAAACAAUCAUCUAACUCAAUAUUUAAUUUUACCUCUAGUCAUGUUACUAGGUUAGGAUAAUAAAAAGGACUGUGAACUUCACAUCUGCCAUCUAUAAUAGAUUCUUAUUGUAGCAAUCUUGCACCAAGGGGAUUUCUUUAUUAACUCUGCCAAAUUUUCCAAAAUUACCAAAUGGAGAAAAGAGCUGGUCCCAUCUGUCACCAGGCACAACCAGGAAGUGUCAGAAGACUUUCAGAAGCACAUGCAGUUGCAGCUCCAGUGUUUCAACAGUUGCCCAUUUCCAAGGCCUCCUAAAUACGUAUGAGGCCUGUGGACAACUUUCUCCUCAGCUGUUACAGAACCUGGACAACUUGUAGUGAAGACCUUCCACACCAGUAACAUAUUUUGGUGAGCCAGUCGGGAGGAGGCUAAAAAACUUGCCCAACGUCACAUGGCUGGGAGUGGAAGAGCCAGGAAGAGUCCAGGAGGUAUGACUCCAGACCAGGCCUCUGGACCACUGCACUCCCACUACCUCUCCAGGCAGGGAUGCAGUCAUCAGUCAAUAGAAGCAGUCCACACAAACCAACCCUGAAAAACAUCCCUUCAUGGAGUUUGAUGAGUUUGCUCUGCCGUACCCUUUCAUCAGCUGUGCUGCUGUGAAGUAAGCAGCCAUCGCUUGG